GGCAAACGGGUGCGGAACACGUACACAACCUUCCUUUUAGUGGGGAAUAGCCCAGAGAAAUUUGGAUUAAUACCCCGUAACAUGACCGAGUGGCAUCACUUGGUUAUUAUAGCUUCGGCGCUAAAUGAUGGGUGUGCGUAUGAUUAGAUAGUUGGCGAGGUAACGGCUUACCAAGUCUACGAUCAUUAGCUGAUGUGAGAGCAUGAUCAGCCACACGGGCACUGAGACACGGGCCCGACUCCUACGGGAGGCAGCAGUAAGGAAUAUUGAUCAAUGGACGCAAGUCUGAACCAGCUAUGCCGCGUGAAGGAUUAAGGUCCUCUGGAUUGUAAACUUCUUUUAUCUGGGACGAAAAAAGGUCUUUCUAGACCCCUUGACGGUACCAGAUGAAUAAGCACCGGCUAACUCCGUGCCAGCAGCCGCGGUAAUACGGAGGGUGCAAGCGUUAUCCGGAUUCACUGGGUUUAAAGGGUGCGUAGGCGGGUAGGUAAGUCAGUGGUGAAAUCCUGGAGCUCAACUCCAGAACUGCCAUUGAUACUAUCUAUCUUGAAUAUUGUGGAGGUAAGCGGAAUAUGUCAUGUAGCGGUGAAAUGCUUAGAUAUGACAUAGAACACCCAUUGCGAAGGCAGCUUACUACG
rnacentral:rRNA from 1 species